rnacentral:rRNA from 1 species
UCAAGCUACUAAGGGCGUACGGUGGAUGCCUAGGCGCUAAGAGUCGAAGAAGGGCGCGGUCAGCAGCGAAAUGCCACGGGGAGCCGUAAGCAGGCAUUGAUCCGUGGGUACCCGAAUGGGGCAACCCAACCAGAGUCAUAUCUGGUUAUCUUUAGCUGAAUACAUAGGCUAAAGAAGACAACCCGGGGAACUGAAACAUCUAAGUACCCGGAGGAAGAGAAAGAAUAAUCGAUUCCCUGAGUAGCGGCGAGCGAAACGGGAACAGCCCAAACCCGCCUCGAGGUCCGAGGCUCGAAGUCAGAAGUCCGAAAGUGUAAGUUAGGUUCAAGGGUCUAGUACCUGCAGAGCCGGACAAAAACAUCGGACAUCGUGCAUCGGAUUUCGGACCUCGAGGUGGGGGUUGUAGGACCCUCUAUUAAGUUAAGCUCCCUAGUCGAACAGGACUGGAAAGUCCGGGCAAAGAAGGUAACACCCCUGUAGACGAAAGGGAAAUUAACUGUGAGGGUAUCCUGAGUACCGCGGGACACGAGAAACCCCGUGGGAAACUGGGAGGACCACCUCCCAAGGCUAAAUACUCCUUAGCGACCGAUAGCGAACUAGUACCGUGAGGGAAAGGUGAAAAGCACCCCGGAAGGGGAGUGAAAAAGAACCUGAAACCGUACGCUUACAAGCAGUCACAGCUGGAGGUCGGAGGUCAGAAAUCCGAAGUCGGAUCUAGGUAUUCCUCGAAAGGAAUGCAUGCAUCUGACAUCGGACAUCCGACCUCUGACUUCCGGUGGUGGCGUGCCUUUUGUAGAAUGAACCGGCGAGUUAUGGUAUGUAGCAAGGUUAAGAUGAGAAGUCGGAGCCGUAGCGAAAGCGAGUCUGAAAAGGGCGACAAGUUGCAUGCUGUAGACCCGAAACCGUGUGAUCUACCCAUGGCCAGGGUGAAGGUGGGGUAAAACCUACUGGAGGCCCGAACUCACUGUCGUUGAAAAGGCAGGGGAUGAGUUGUGGGUAGGGGUGAAAUGCCAAUCGAACACGGAGAUAGCUGGUUCUCCCCGAAAUAGCUUUAGGGCUAGCCUCAAUCGAAAUGAAUAGCGGCGGUAGAGCACUGAAUAGGCUAGGGGCCCUACCAGGUUACCGAACCUUAUCAAACUCCGAAUGCCGUAUAUUUAAGAUUGGGAGUCAGACUGUGGGGGAUAAGCUUCAUAGUCGAAAGGGAAACAGCCCAGACCAUCAGCUAAGGUCCCAAAGUAUACGCUAAGUGGGAAAGGAUGUGGAAUUGCUCAGACAACCAGGAUGUUGGCUCAGAAGCAGCCACCAUUUAAAGAGUGCGUAAUAGCUCACUGGUCGAGUGGUUCUGCGCCGAAAAUGUAACGGGGCUCAAGCGUAUCACCGAAGCUAUGGCUUUAUCGAGGUUCGAUAUCCGAGGUCCGAAAUCCGAAAAGAGGGAAAAUGAUGAUUCAAAGCUAAAAGACUUGGAAGUAUAUCGAAGUUCUUAUCAAGCAGCUUUGGCAUUACAUCGAAUGACUCUCGAAUUUCCAAGACACGAAAUGUAUGAAUUAGGUAGUCAACUACGGAGGGCAGCAACCUCCAUACCUUUAAAUAUUGCAGAGGGAUACGGAAGAAAGAACUCUUCUGCAGAAUUUAAACACUUCUUGCGGAACUCAUUUGGUUCAUGUAAUGAGGUAAAGGUACUACUUGAGAUGAUAAAAGAUCUAGGUUACAUGGAAGAACAACUCUUCGAAGAAACUUAUGAUAUUUAUGAUCAUAUCGGUAGACAGCUGUAUCGCCUAAUAGAAAACUGGAAAUAAUCGGACAUCGGAUGACGGAUAUCGGACCUCGAUAAGGGGUAGGGGAGCAUUCUAUUUGCAGAGAAGUUGGACUGUAAGGUCUGGUGGAGCGGAUAGAAGAGAGAAUGCCGGUAUGAGUAUGCGAAAAGGAGGGUGAGAAUCCCUCCCGCCGAAAACCUAAGGUUUCCUGGGGAAGGCUCGUCCGCCCAGGGUAAGUCGGGACCUAAGCCGAGGCCGAAAGGCGUAGGUGAUGGACAAUUGGUUGAGAUUCCAAUACCACCUGAAAGCGUUAUUAGCAAUGGGGUGACACAGAAGGAUAAGUUAAGCGUACCGUUGGUUGAGUACGCCCAAGCCAGUAGGGAGCAGAGUAGGCAAAUCCGCUCUGCAACAUCCUGAGAGGUGACGGGGAGCGAAAUUUAGUAGCGAAGUAACUGACUCCAAGCUGUCAAGAAAAGCCUCUAGUGAGCGACUAGGUGCCCGUACCGUAAACCGACACAGGUAGGUAAGGAGAGAAUCCUAAGGCGCGCGAGAAAACCCUCGUUAAGGAACUCGGCAAAAUAGCCCCGUAACUUCGGGAGAAGGGGCGCUCUAGCAAUAGAGCCGCAGAGAAAUGGUCCAGGCGACUGUUUAACAAAAACACAGGUCCCUGCUAAUCCGUAAGGAGAUGUAUAGGGGCUGACACCUGCCCGGUGCUGGAAGGUUAAGAGGAGAGGUUAGCAGUUCAGAGGUCAGAAGUAAGAAGUCAGAGUGGAAGAAGAACGCUCGGGCUAAUUUUGGAUAAAAGGAAUGGUUGUAAACCAUUCCAACGAGAUCCGACAUCUGACAUCCGAUUUCUGACCUCUGAAUUGCGAAGCUUUGAAUUGAAGCCCCAGUAAACGGCGGCCGUAACUAUAACGGUCCUAAGGUAGCGAAAUUCCUUGUCAGGUAAGUUCUGACCCGCACGAAAGGUGUAACGAUCUGGACACUGUCUCAACGAGGGACUCGGCGAAAUUGUAAUACCCGUGAAGAUGCGGGUUACCUGCGACAGGACAGAAAGACCCCAUGGAGCUUUACUGUAGCUUGACAUUGGAUUUUGGUAUAGAAUGUACAGGAUAGGUGGGAGACUAAGAAGCUAGGGCGCCAGCCUUGGUGGAGUCAACGGUGGGAUACCACUCUUUUUGUACUGAAGUUCUAACUUUGGCCCCUGAAUCGGGGUUGAGGACAGUGUCAGGUGGGCAGUUUGACUGGGGCGGUCGCCUCCUAAAGAGUAACGGAGGCGCCCAAAGGUUCCCUCAGCGCGGUUGGAAAUCGCGCGUAGAGUGUAAAGGCAUAAGGGAGCUUGACUGCGAGACCAACAAGUCGAGCAGGGACGAAAGUCGGGCUUAGUGAUCCGGUGGUACCGAGUGGAAGGGCCAUCGCUCAACGGAUAAAAGCUACC